rnacentral:rRNA from 1 species
AACGAACGCUGGCGGCAGGCCUAACACAUGCAAGUCGAACGCUGUAGCAAUACAGAGUGGCAGACGGGUGAGUAACGCGUGGGAACCUUCCCAAUGGUACGGAAUAGCUCAGGGAAACUUGAGGUAAUACCGUAUAAGCCCCUAGGGGGAAAGAUUUAUCGCCAUUGGAUGGGCCCGCGUCGGAUUAGCUAGUUGGUAGGGUAAUGGCCUACCAAGGCGACGAUCCGUAGCUGGUUUGAGAGAAUGACCAGCCACACUGGGACUGAGACACGGCCCAGACUCCUACGGGAGGCAGCAGUGGGGAAUCUUGGACAAUGGGCGCAAGCCUGAUCCAGCCAUGCCGCGUGAGUGACGAAGGCCUUAGGGUUGUAAAGCUCUUUUGCCGGGGACGAUAAUGACGGUACCCGGAGAAUAAGUCCCGGCUAACUUCGUGCCAGCCGCCGCCGUAAGAC